UCCAUUUCCUCUUUAAUGUCUUUCCAGUAUGUCUGUGUCACGGAGCAGUCCCAGAAUAUGUGGUGACUUGGCCCCCCCC